AAUUCAUUACCUAUAGAUGUUCUGGCCUCUCGAGGGAUCCAUAUUCUGAAUUAAUAACUAUAAACAACUAUUAUAUAUAUAGAUAGCUAUGAAAGUUGUAACCUGGUACUAAUGCAAUUUCAAAAGCCCUUAGCAUCCAAUUAUAGCAGGCCAAUGAUACAUUGAACCACAUCAUAAGUGAAAGAUCUGAAAAUUUUGGUCUUCUAUGAAUGGGUCUACCAACAGUUAAUAGGAGUUUAAUAACCAGUUCCUAUAUGCCUGAUUGCCUAAGAAGUUCAUCUUUCAACCAUUGGUGUGACUUCAGCAUGUCAAGGCUGUGCAUAAAGAACUCAAGCCUUUUGCAUGUAGCUUAUCUGGUUGUGGGAUGAGAUUUUCAUACAAGCAUGUCAGAGAUAACCAUGAGAAAUCAGCGCUCCACGUUUAUGUUCCAGUAAGUUAUUUAGUUGUCAAUGAUUAAAUGCUAUUAUAAGCUUGUUUAUUUCGUCAUAGGUAUUUUUCGUGAUAGACAAAGAGUAAUGAUUGUAACGACUGUUUCCUAUUUAGGGGGACUUCAUAGAGUCGGAUGAGCAGUUUCAGUUAAGGCCAAGGGGUGGGCGUAAAAGAACAUGUCCCACUGUGGAAAUGCUUAUUCGAAAAAGAGUUGCUCCACCACAAAUGGAUACGAUGAUGGACCCAGGGCCUAUUCAGGGUUGCUCUUAACGGAUGAGGGCCAACACUGAGACUAAAUGGGUAAAUACAGUUCAGUUAACUUGUAUUUUUUAGGUUAAUAUAAUUUAUAGCAUAAAAUAUCAUAGGUUCUGCUUCUCUUUUCUUCUGUAAUAAACUAAAGUUAGUAAUGGAUGGGCAGAUGUAGUGUGACUACCAAGGUAGUAGUCAAAUAGCAGAAAUUAAACUCCCCUCCCCCUUGAAGAUUCAGUUUCUCAAAAUCAAAAUCAGAAAACCAUUAAUAACAAAAAUUAAAAUCACAAUCAAAAUCAAAAAGCAAAAAGUAAAAAACUACUUCGAAUUGGGUUAACAGGAAAUAGGGUUAACAGCAAACUCACCUUUGAAAUGAGAGGUUCAGAAGACGUAGAAGGCUAGAAGCACCGUUAAAGCGGAGGUGGAGUCGUAGAGGUGGAUUUCCGAAUUGGAUGGAGCUGUGGAGGACUGGAGGUGGAAUGGUGGAUCGGUGGAGGUGGAUUUUUGAUUUGGGGAAAAAAAUAGAGGAGUGAAGGGCUUAGGGAUUUAUCAGAUGCACGGGGAAAGGGGAAAUGGGAAAUGGGAAAU
rnacentral:lncRNA from 1 species